rnacentral:tRNA from 1 species
AGAAGCUUAAGUUAUAUUAAACUAGGAACCUUCAAAGUCCCAAAAAAAGACCUCUUUAGUUUCUG